AUUGAACGCUGGCGGCAGGCCUAACACAUGCAAGUCGAGCGAGCGGCGGACGGGUGCGUAAUGUAUGGGGACUGCCCGAUAGAGGGGGAUAACUACUGGAUACGGUAGCUAAUACCGCAUACUAUCGGAUAACCGAUAUGGGAUUAGCUAGUUGGUGAGGUAAUGGCUCACCUAGGCGACGAUCCCUAGCUGGUCUGAGAGGAUGAUCAGCCACACUGGGACUGAGACACGGCCCAGACUCCUACGGAGGCAGCAGUGGGGAAUAUUGGACAAUGGGCGCAAGCCUGAUGCAGCCAUGCCGCGUGUAUGAAGAAGGCCUUAGGGUUGUAAAGUACUUUCAGUCGGGAGGCGUUACCUACAGAAGAAGCACCGGCUAACUCCGUGCCAGCAGCCGCGGUAAUUC
rnacentral:rRNA from 1 species